AUUUCGGGCGUAUGUGUAUUAAGUGAGUUUUGCACACUUUUCUGUUGAGAGUACCGCGUACAGAAUAUAUCUUGCAUGAGUGAGUGAGUGGUUUACUGUAGUACCAACAUUCCCUGACUAUAAAGUUACAAUAUGGCCGAAAGUACAAAUGCGCGCCAUUUAAGUAGAACUUUUGAAGUUGUGUUUAACUAAAGAUCUAAACAUAUAAAUGUGAGUGGGUUUUGUGUUACUUUUCUAUUCGCACAUGAGCGGUCUCUCUGAUGUGACACGAUAAGGAAUUUGCCGCCAUCUAGGAAUGUUGUCUUGGAAAACCACAGUCCGUAUAACACAGAACAUUACAAGGUGCGACAUCAUCGCACGUGAUAUUUUACCUUUUCGCCACUAAACCCCCAAACGGGCGAAAACAAAUGGCUUGAAGGGUGCCAUACCAAACAUAAAACGUGACCUCUAUAAAAAUUACUUAUCACAUUAUCACCACUAAUGAAAUAUUAUGGAAUUUCUAUAUUUUUCAGAAUAUCGC